UACAGAGGUCUCAAGCGUUGUUCGGAUUCAUUGGGCGUAAAGGGUGUGUAGGUGGCGCGCUAAGUCGGGUGUGAAAUUUCGGAGCUUAACUCCGAAACUGCAUUCGAUACUGGCGUGCUUGAGGACUGGAGAGGAGACUGGAAUUCAUGGUGUAGCAGUGAAAUGCGUAGAGAUCAUGAGGAACACCAGUGGCGAAGGCGAGUCCCUGGACAACACCUGACACUGAGGCACGAAAGCUAGGGGAGCAAACAGG
rnacentral:rRNA from 1 species